GCGAAUUCAGCUUGUGCAACCCCUUGGUGUCUUUAAUACGCUUGAGGACCAUGUCACCUAUGUUGAACGAGCGUUCUUUGACGUUGUGAUCAUGAUAGCGGCAAAUCCCUUCAAGAUACUUUGCAGACUAAACGAGUGCUACACAAUGAGCUUCUUCGAGGUCGUCUAAGUCUAGACACCUUGUUUAUUCUGCUGUUCC
rnacentral:lncRNA from 1 species